AUUGAACGCUGGCGGCAGGCCUAACACCUGCAAGUCGAACGGAGUGGCGGACGGGUGAGUAAUGUCUGGGAAACUGCCUGCUGGAGGGGGAUAACUACUGGAACCGGUAGCUAAUACCGCAUACUCUCAGCUGAGCCUAGGUCGGAUUGGCUAGUUGGUGGGGUAAAGGCCUACCAAGGCGACGAUCCGUAACUGGUUUGAGAGGAUGAUAAGUCACACUGGAACUGAGACACGGUCAAGAAUCCUACGGGAGGCAGCAGGGGGGAAUAUGGGACGAUGGGCGAAAGCCUGAUCCAGCCAUGCCGCGGGUGUGAAGAAGGUCUUCGGAUUGUAAAGCACUUUAAGUUGGGAGGGGUUACCAACAGAAGAAGCACCGGCUAACUCCGUGCCAGCAGCCGCGGUAAUAC
rnacentral:rRNA from 1 species